rnacentral:lncRNA from 10 species
GGGAGGUGGAGGUUGUGGUGAGCCAAGAACAUGCCAUUGCACUCCAGCCUGGGCAACAAGAGCGAAACUCCAUCUCAAAAAAAACAAAAACAAAAACAAAAAUACUAGGCAUGCAAAGAAGCAUGAACAUAAGCUCAUAAUGAAGUGAAAAAUUAGUCCAUCAAAACUGACCCAGGAAUGGCACAAUGACAAUCAGUAGACAAGGACAUUAAAGCAGGUAUUAUGACUGUAUUCCAUAUGUUCAGAAAGCUAGAGAGAAAAACAUGGAAGAUACAAAACACCAAGUUGAACCUCUAGAGAUGAAAACUGCAAUAUCUGAUGAAAAACGCUGAAUGGGAUUAACAGCAGAUUGGACAUCUCAGAAAAAGAUAUGAAAGAAUUGGAAGACAGCAACUUAAACAGGAAAAAGACUGAAGAAGAGAUGGGGGCCUCACCUUUUUGCCGAUGCUGGUUUUGAACUCCUGGCCUCAACCAAUCCUCCUGCUGUGGCCUGUCAUUGACUUAUAGAACACUCUACCA